rnacentral:rRNA from 1 species
AGUCAUUCUGCCCAUUGAAAUUAAAAGGCUGCGGUAUUUUAACUGUACAAAGGUAGCAAAAUAAAUAGUUUUUUAAUUGAAAACUUGAAUGAAAGAGUUAAUAAGAUAUUAAUUGUCUCGAUAAAUUAAUUUAAAUUAAAAGUUAAAAUGCUUUUAUAAACUUAUUAGACGAUAAGACCCUAAGAAUUUAAUUAUAUAUAUUAAUUGAAUAAUAAUAUUAAUAUUUAAUAAUUUUAUUGGGAGGAUAAUUAAAUUUAACUUUAAUUAAAAAAAAUAUUGAUAAAUAAAUUUAAUGAUUAAAAUAAAGAUUAUAAGAAUAAAUUACCUUAGGGAUAACAGCGUAAUAAUUUUGGAGAGUUCAUAUUGAUAAAAUUGUUUACGACCUCSAUGUUGAAUUAAAAUAAAAAUUAAAUGAAGAUAUUUAAAUUUUUAGUCUGUUCGACUAUUAAAAUUUUAC